CGUGUAGGUGAUCAGGUAAGUCAGAUGUGAAAGCCUUCUGCUUAACAGAAGAAGUGCAUUUGAAACUGCUUGGCUAGAGUACGGGAGAGGAGAGUGGAAUUCCCGGUGUAGAGGUGAAAUUCGUAGAUAUCGGGAGGAACACCAGUGGCGAAGGCGGCUCUCUGGUCCGAUACUGACGCUGAGACGCGAAAGCGUGGGGAGCAAACAGGAUUAGAUACCCUGGUAGUCCACGCCGUAAACGAUGGGCACUAGGUGUAGGAGGUAUUGACCCCUUCUGUGCCGAAGCUAACGCAUUAAGUGCCCCGCCUGGGGAGUACGGCCGCAAGGCUAAA
rnacentral:rRNA from 1 species